CAGAAUUCGUGGGCUGUUUGUCAUUAUCGACCUGAAGACAACAGGCGACUCACCGUUAAGAUGAAGUGCAUCGUCUUCGCUUUUUUGCUUCUGUCGGCGUUGAUCGUGAUAACAGAAGCUCUGCCACAGAGAUGGAAGGGAGAUACGGACGUCCUUCGUUUUCCCACCGGACCUUUCAAUCCGGCUCCGUGCAUCUGCGUGACCCAGCCAUGCCCUUGCGACGGAAACAGCUGGCCUCCCUUUGACUUCAGAACACGGCAGCAGUAAUUGUGUCACUCUUACGUACUGCAUCCUAACCUAAACAAAGAUAUGCAACAUCCGGAUUAUUUUUUUUUUUUUUUUGGAGGGGGGGGGAUUUGGUAAAGUUGCAAAACAUGGAGGAUUAUUAAUCUCUCGGGAUUUUGAUAUACCUGCAAAACAGGUGUUGUUUUUUUACUCUAGGGAGUUUUGUAUAUUUGCAAUUAUGCAAUGAACUUUACCUGUUUAUCCUGUUUUUAUUUUUGCAUUGGGGUUGAUGAUUUGAUACUUAUGAGAUUAGAUUGCUUGCAAUGCACAAAAGUCUUGCAAGAAUGUAGAAAUUGUAUGUCUGGAAUUUUGUUUCUUGUACAAGCUGUGUGUGAAAUAUCAAGAUGUAACCUACAAUAUCAGUCCAAAUAAAGUUGAAAUUUUGA